rnacentral:lncRNA from 1 species
UCCCUUCCCCAUCUCUCUCUCUCCCCUCCCGUUUUUAAACGCACUGUUCCGAGCAAGACAACAGCACUGCUUCUCGCGGCGGCGAAGCGAGGCGCCCCACAUCCCCACAUCACACCCCACCACCACCACCCGAGAGGAGGGGAGGGGAGCCAGCUCGAGCUCGGGGCGGCGGCGGCAGGGCGAGGCUGGGGUUUCCCCCCCGACCGACCCGACAUUGCGGUGAGUCCCCCCGCGAAGGCGCACCGGUGCGGCGGACGCGGCGG